GGGGGUAUAGCCAAGUGGUAAGGCAUCGGUUUUUGGUACCGACAUCCUAGGUUCGAAUCCUAGUACCCCAGCCA
rnacentral:tRNA from 1 species